ensembl:lncRNA
CGCCGCCCCUCCGUCCGUCUGUCCGCCGGCGGCUGGGUUCUCCGAAGGCUGCGCAAGAAACGCCGAAGGGUUCGUUCCUCCUGCCGCCUCUCCUCCGUAGCCAAGUUUAGUUCCCUUCAAGUGAUUCAUCAGUCUCCAGCUUUAGCAGUCCAGAGUUACCCAUUUAUGAUAACCAGCCAGUGUAAGGAAAAGGUGUCAUGAAGCUUCUUUACCUCUCAAAAGAGCUAAAUUCCUGAACAACGCAGAGACAUUCGUGUCACGUUUACUAGAGAUGUAUUGGGGAUCUUUAACGUUUACACUACUCCUCGGGAGAAUUGAGUUCUGUUCUAAGAUUUAAGGCCACUUCAAUUCCGCAGGAGGAAGGAAAAAAUCAUAAUAAUAGGAUUGUAUGCUAUUAACUCUUUCUGAGCUCGGAGGUGUGAAAAAGGCAAAGAGAGAAACUGCUAAGUGCUGUUCCUGGAUUCUGCCGUGGAGUGCCAGAGCCAAGGCGGUGUCAGAAAGUGCCAGCUAAGGAAGUAGGUACCGCAUGUUGUCUUUACGUCUGUCCAGGACAGGUGAAAGCUUAAUUUCACUCUCCACAAAGAACCCAAAAGCAGCUCUCCAGACUGCUUUCGGUUCAGCACCCCCAGGCACCCUAUGCUGAAAUUGAGCUUUACUAAACGACCUUUCUGUUCCUCCUGCUUGGAAUCUGCUGCAUAGCGCCCGCAUCUCAGACACCAGAGAGAGAGAGUUAAGGGAACGCAAAGUUACAGUGCAUUUCUGUGGUCGUGGAACAUUGUUCUGAAACCUUUAGACGCAGAGAGACUGACGUAAUUUACAGCCUUAGAUUUGGAGGGAGACAGUUUUAGCCUAAAAAUAACCAAAUCUUUCCGCAUUGUUUUGUUUCCUGAAGUGUUUUCAUUUGCACGCUUUGUAUAACCUAAAAUUCAGAAUGCCUUAGAAGUCUUGAAAUUGCGAACUGUGGUCUGCGAAGCUCAUAGUGACAGCUUUCACCUGGAGAAGACAGUCAGAAGCAGCAUGGCCAGGCUGCCAAGGGCUGCAGAAAUCUAAGCUCCUUUUGGGCAGCAGAUUUCCUUGUGCAGAGGUCCAGCCAGAGACAUCUGCCCUGGGGCAUGUCUCACAUUGGCACCGGAGAUGGGCUCUAUGCUGGCUGUGUGCUGGCUGUAUGGUUGGUUGUGUGCUGGCUGUAUGGCUGCCUGCGUGCUGGCUGUGUGCUGCCUCUGCAGAUCACCUCCUUAACCCCUUACAGAGAAGUCAGUGUGAAGUCUUUACCUACAAUACCAGCUGAGGCACAGAACCGAAUUGGCAGCAUACCGUCUUGCUUACAUACCCAGAAUAUCUCGCAAAAAGAUGAGUUACAAAAGUAAGGAGGCUAAAUCCUUACAUAGGUCUCUGCGCAGAUGAGUUUAUAGCACAGCACAGCACCCUGUACUGAGUUAAAUAGGAAUUGCCCAGCUGCAGAGUGAGUUUGGUAGACAGACCAGCAAGGUGCCUACAUACAGAUUGAGAAGUGAUAGUUGUCGGCUUUAAAAAUAAAAGUUAAAAAAUUGGCUGUUCAUGGAAGUUAUAUCUUAGUUUUACUUAAGGAAUUGAUUUUUGACAUAAAAAAGACAGUAUUUUACAUAACUCUUCUAGGGAUUGUGAACUAGACAAUUCUGAAACUCCAGAUGUUCCAAAGAUCAGUGCUCAGGGAAAUAAAUGGGAAGUCGAGAAAGCUACCUAUUAUACUCAAUUGUUUAAUGUGAACAAUUUUAAUCUAUGAAUUUGUAAGAUUGUGAAAUUCAAAACUUUCUUUUGUGUGUGCGUGUGCACGCGUGCGUGUAUGGGUGCUUGCGUUUUAUUUGGAUCUGUUCAGGAUGCCAUUGAGUCAGAAUAUUUCUUUGUGGCUCAGUUUCAGUUCCUGGAUUUCUAUUUUCCCUCAUUUAG